UACAAUAAAUCUGGAUUUGCCCCCGGCAGGAGUCCACUCUUUCUUCUGCUGCUGCUGCAGAAGUCAUUGCAAGUCAUAGCCGCAAAGGCAAAAGCCUUAGGCGCCCCUCAGACCAGACAGGAUUCUGGAGAGUGCCCCCCGGUGCUAGCGGUGUUGGAGCUAGCCGCCGCAAGCCUGCUCUUUGAACAAAGAGCAGAGGGACACCGCAGCAGUUCUGGGGAUUUUUCCAUCCUGAAAGAACAUCAGUCUCUGCUAUUAGUUUUCACAGCUCUUUGUCCCAUGACCUAAAGAGAAAGUAAGUACUAAUAUCCCAGAUGGUAAAAUUUUUUGUUAUCCCAAAUCCCCAUAUCCGCAGAUCCUAUUUAUUUCUUUUUCUAUGUAUGUUCAGAGAAGCCUAGACUCAAGAGAGAAACAAGUAAAAUACUUGUACAAAAUUACUAUAAUUUCUAUCAACACAAAAAUGUCAAUAAUAGAAAAAUAGAACUAUACUCCACGAAAGAGACAAAAUAUUCUAGGGCAUGUAAUUGUAUUUGCCAACUCCAACUGGAGUUAUUAGUUUUGUUGGGCUUUUAUUAUUUUACUUAGCAUUCUACAACCUUUUAAUCUAGCAAGUAAAGAACAAAUUCUUUUCAUUUAUACUGCACUGUAACUUGAAUUAGUAAUAUCUGACCCAGAAAUACUACCAUUCAUGUACCAAUUUUACCUCCCUGUUCUGCAUAACCUUGUAGGACUUUAAGUUUAAAAAAAUUUAAAAUCUAGGUCAUUUUUUGGUGCAAAAAUUAUGACAUUUCGAAUGAAUUUUCUAGUAAGAUCAGUCAUUACAAAAGAAAACAAAUUUUAUAGGAUAAGAAAACAAAUUGCAGUAAAGCAGUGCAAAGGUUUACUACUACUACAACCUAGCAAAGUUAAUUAAAUGUCAUAGUAACCUUUCCAUUAUGUUACAUCUAACAAUUUCCUCAACUUUUUGACAUCAUGUGUC